rnacentral:rRNA from 1 species
AAAUAAUAUUAAAUAAUUUAUUAAUGAAUUAUUUUUAUUAAAAUUAAAAUAUUAAUAAAAGUAUUUUUUUUAGUAGUUAAAAUGAAAUUUAUUAUUUUUAUAAUUGUGAAAGAAGUAAAUAAUUGAUUAAAAAGAUAAUUUAAUUUAUACAUACCUUUUGUAUCAGGAUUUUUAACAAUAUUAACAUAUUUUAUUUUCUCGAAAUAAAUUGAUCUAUUUAAUUAUUAUAAUUAUUGUAAUAAUAAUAUUAUAAAUUAUUAAAUUAAAAUUAUAUGUUAGUCAUAAUUGAUGAUAUCUCGUUAUUUUAUAAAUAAAUUUAAUUUAGAUUAAUUAAUAAUUUAUUUUAUAUUUAUAUAAAUUAAUUUUCAUUAAUUAAUAUUAUUAGGGUAAACUUAAUAAUAAUUUUAAUAACUAAAAUUAAUAUUUAUUAAUUAAAUUAAAAAAUUUUUAUAUUUAAAAAGUUUAUAAUAAUUUCUAAAUAAUAAUAUAAUUUAUUUAAUAAUUUUAUAAAUUAUAAAUUAAAUAUUUUAAUAAUUUAAAUAUUUAAAUAAUGAAAAAAUUAGUAAAUUUAUUUUUAUAAAAUAAUAUAAAUAAUAGAUAUAAUUAAGGAAUUAGGCAACAAUUAUAUUCACCUGUUUAUUGAAAACAUCUUUUAUUGAUAAUAAUUUUAAAUCUAAUCUGCUCAAUGAAUAUUAAAUAGCUGCAAGAUCUUUACUGUACAAAGGUAGCAUAAUCAUUUGUCUUUUUAUUAAAGUCUGGAAUGAAAGAUUGAAUGAAAUAUAAACUGUCUCAAUUGUAAAAAUUAAAAUUUAAAUUUAAGUGAAAAUUCUUAAAUUUUAUAAAAAGACGAGAAGACCCUAUAGAAUUUUAUAUAUUAAUUUUAUAAUAAUAUUAAUAAAUUUAUUAUAAUGUUUUAUAUUAUAUUGGGGCAAAUAUAAAAAUUUAAGUAAUUUUUUAUUUAAUCUUUCAUAUAUUUAUGAAUUUAAAAAUUUAUCUUAUAAAAUAAAAUUUAAAUUACCUUAGGGAUAACAGCAUAAUUUUAUUUGAUAGUUCAUAUUGAUAAUAAAGUUUAUGACCUUGAUGUUGAAUUAAGAUAAAAUGUAAAUGUAGAUAUUUACUAUUUUUAGUCUUUUCGACUAUUAAAAUCUUACAUGAUUUGAGUUUAAAUCGGUGUGAGCCAGAUUGGAUUCUAUCUUUUAUAAUAUAAUAUAUUAUUGUACGAAAGGACUUAAUAUAUAAAAUAAUUUUUAUAUUUGAAUAAAUUU